rnacentral:snRNA from 1 species
AAAGUUAAGUCAGCCGUGUAAUG